rnacentral:rRNA from 1 species
CCCUUAGAUGUUCUGGGCCGCACGCGCGCUACACUGAUGCAUUCAACGAGCCUAGCCUUGACCGAGAGGUCCGGGUAAUCUUUGAAACUGCAUCGUGAUGGGGCUAGAUUAUUGCAAUUAUUAAUCUUCAACGAGGAAUGCCUAGUAAGCGUGAUUCAUCAAAUCGCGUUGAUUACGUCCCUGCCCUUUGUACACACCGCCCGUCGCUCCUACCGAUUGAGUGUGUUGGUGAGGAGUUCGGAUUGGCUCUUAGUGGUGGUUCGCCACCACCUAGAGCUGAGAAGUUCUCCAAACCGCCCCACUUAGAGGAAGGAGAAGUCGUAACAA